UUAAGCGACUAAGCGUACACGGUGGAUGCCCUGGCAGUCAGAGGCGAUGAAGGACGUGCUAAUCUGCGAUAAGCGUCGGUAAGGUGAUAUGAACCGUUAUAACCGGCGAUUUCCGAAUGGGGAAACCCAGUGUGUUUCGACACACUAUCAUUAACUGAAUCCAUAGGUUAAUGAGGCGAACCGGGGGAACUGAAACAUCUAAGUACCCCGAGGAAAAGAAAUCAACCGAGAUUCCCCCAGUAGCGGCGAGCGAACGGGGAGCAGCCCAGAGCCUGAAUCAGUGUGUGUGUUAGUGGAAGCGUCUGGAAAGGCGCGCGAUACAGGGUGACAGCCCCGUACACAAAAAUGCACAUGCUGUGAGCUCGAUGAGUAGGGCGGGACACGUGGUAUCCUGUCUGAAUAUGGGGGGACCAUCCUCCAAGGCUAAAUACUCCUGACUGACCGAUAGUGAACCAGUACCGUGAGGGAAAGGCGAAAAGAACCCCGGCGAGGGGAGUGAAAAAGAACCUGAAACCGUGUACGUACAAGCAGUGGGAGCACGCUUAGGCGUGUGACUGCGUACCUUUUGUAUAAUGGGUCAGCGACUUAUAUUCUGUAGCAAGGUUAACCGAAUAGGGGAGCCGAAGGGAAACCGAGUCUUAACUGGGCGUUAAGUUGCAGGGUAUAGACCCGAAACCCGGUGAUCUAGCCAUGGGCAGGUUGAAGGUUGGGUAACACUAACUGGAGGACCGAACCGACUAAUGUUGAAAAAUUAGCGGAUGACUUGUGGCUGGGGGUGAAAGGCCAAUCAAACCGGGAGAUAGCUGGUUCUCCCCGAAAGCUAUUUAGGUAGCGCCUCGUGAAUUCAUCUCCGGGGGUAGAGCACUGUUUCGGCAAGGGGGUCAUCCCGACUUACCAACCCGAUGCAAACUGCGAAUACCGGAGAAUGUUAUCACGGGAGACACACGGCGGGUGCUAACGUCCGUCGUGAAGAGGGAAACAACCCAGACCGCCAGCUAAGGUCCCAAAGUCAUGGUUAAGUGGGAAACGAUGUGGGAAGGCCCAGACAGCCAGGAUGUUGGCUUAGAAGCAGCCAUCAUUUAAAGAAAGCGUAAUAGCUCACUGGUCGAGUCGGCCUGCGCGGAAGAUGUAACGGGGCUAAACCAUGCACCGAAGCUGCGGCAGCGACGCUUAUGCGUUGUUGGGUAGGGGAGCGUUCUGUAAGCCUGUGAAGGUGUGCUGUGAGGCAUGCUGGAGGUAUCAGAAGUGCGAAUGCUGACAUAAGUAACGAUAAAGCGGGUGAAAAGCCCGCUCGCCGGAAGACCAAGGGUUCCUGUCCAACGUUAAUCGGGGCAGGGUGAGUCGACCCCUAAGGCGAGGCCGAAAGGCGUAGUCGAUGGGAAACAGGUUAAUAUUCCUGUACUUGGUGUUACUGCGAAGGGGGGACGGAGAAGGCUAUGUUGGCCGGGCGACGGUUGUCCCGGUUUAAGCGUGUAGGCUGGUUUUCCAGGCAAAUCCGGAAAAUCAAGGCUGAGGCGUGAUGACGAGGUACUACGGUGCUGAAGCAACAAAUGCCCUGCUUCCAGGAAAAGCCUCUAAGCAUCAGGUAACAUCAAAUCGUACCCCAAACCGACACAGGUGGUCAGGUAGAGAAUACCAAGGCGCUUGAGAGAACUCGGGUGAAGGAACUAGGCAAAAUGGUGCCGUAACUUCGGGAGAAGGCACGCUGAUAUGUAGGUGAAGUCCCUUGCGGAUGGAGCUGAAAUCAGUCGAAGAUACCAGCUGGCUGCAACUGUUUAUUAAAAACACAGCACUGUGCAAACACGAAAGUGGACGUAUACGGUGUGACGCCUGCCCGGUGCCGGAAGGUUAAUUGAUGGGGUUAGCGGUAACGCGAAGCUCUUGAUCGAAGCCCCGGUAAACGGCGGCCGUAACUAUAACGGUCCUAAGGUAGCGAAAUUCCUUGUCGGGUAAGUUCCGACCUGCACGAAUGGCGUAAUGAUGGCCAGGCUGUCUCCACCCGAGACUCAGUGAAAUUGAACUCGCUGUGAAGAUGCAGUGUACCCGCGGCAAGACGGAAAGACCCCGUGAACCUUUACUAUAGCUUGACACUGAACAUUGAGCCUUGAUGUGUAGGAUAGGUGGGAGGCUUUGAAGUGUGGACGCCAGUCUGCAUGGAGCCGACCUUGAAAUACCACCCUUUAAUGUUUGAUGUUCUAACGUUGACCCGUAAUCCGGGUUGCGGACAGUGUCUGGUGGGUAGUUUGACUGGGGCGGUCUCCUCCUAAAGAGUAACGGAGGAGCACGAAGGUUGGCUAAUCCUGGUCGGACAUCAGGAGGUUAGUGCAAUGGCAUAAGCCAGCUUGACUGCGAGCGUGACGGCGCGAGCAGGUGCGAAAGCAGGUCAUAGUGAUCCGGUGGUUCUGAAUGGAAGGGCCAUCGCUCAACGGAUAAAAGGUACUCCGGGGAUAACAGGCUGAUACCGCCCAAGAGUUCAUAUCGACGGCGGUGUUUGGCACCUCGAUGUCGGCUCAUCACAUCCUGGGGCUGAAGUAGGUCCCAAGGGUAUGGCUGUUCGCCAUUUAAAGUGGUACGCGAGCUGGGUUUAGAACGUCGUGAGACAGUUCGGUCCCUAUCUGCCGUGGGCGCUGGAGAACUGAGGGGGGCUGCUCCUAGUACGAGAGGACCGGAGUGGACGCAUCACUGGUGUUCGGGUUGUCAUGCCAAUGGCACUGCCCGGUAGCUAAAUGCGGAAGAGAUAAGUGCUGAAAGCAUCUAAGCACGAAACUUGCCCCGAGAUGAGUUCUCCCUGACUCCUUGAGAGUCCUGAAGGAACGUUGAAGACGACGACGUUGAUAGGCCGGG
rnacentral:rRNA from 1 species